CGAACGCUGGCGGCGUGCUUAACACAUGCAAGUCGACCGGAAAGGCCCUGCUUUUGUGGGGUGCUCGAGUGGCGAACGGGUGAGUAACACGUGAGUAACCUGCCCUUGACUUUGGGAUAACUUCAGGAAACUGGGGCUAAUACCGGAUAGGAGCUCCUGCUGCAUGGUGGGGGUUGGAAAGUUUCGGCGGUUGGGGAUGGACUCGCGGCUUAUCAGCUUGUUGGUGGGGUAGUGGCUUACCAAGGCUUUGACGGGUAGCCGGCCUGAGAGGGUGAACGGCCACAUUGGGACUGAGAUACGGCCCAGACUCCUACGGGAGGCAGCAGUGGGGAAUAUUGCACAAUGGGCGGAAGCCUGAUGCAGCAACGCCGCGUGCGGGAUGACGGCCUUCGGGUUGUAAACCGCUUUCGCCUGUGACGAAGCGUGAGUGACGGUAAUGGGUAAAGAAGCACCGGCUAACUACGUG
rnacentral:rRNA from 1 species